UGAGGGAUAUUGGUCAAUGGGCGCAAGCCUGAACCAGCGACGCCGCGUGGGUGAAGAAGGUCUUCGGAUCGUAAAGCCCUUUUCCCACUGAAGAGGAAGGACGGUAGGUGGGGAAGAAGUCUCGGCUAACUACGUGCCAGCAGCCGCGGUAAAACGUAGGAGACAAGCGUUAUCCGGAGUUACUGGGCGUAAAGGGCGUGCAGGUGGCGUCUUAAGUCUGUUGUGAAAGCGCCUGGCUUAACCGGGCGAGGCCAAUGGAGACUGAGAGGCUGGGUGACGGCGGAGUGGUGUGGAAUUCCGGGUGUAGUGGUGAAAUGCGUAGAGAUCCGGAGGAACACCAGAGGCGAAGGCGGCACUCUAAGCCGUACCUGACACUGAGACGCGACAGCACGGGGAGCAAACG
rnacentral:rRNA from 1 species